UACAGAGGUCCCGAGCGUUGUUCGGAUUCACUGGGCGUAAAGGGUGCGUAGGUGGUUGGGUAAGUCUGAUGUGAAAUCUCCGGGCUCAACCCGGAAAUGGCAUUGGAUACUAUUCGGCUAGAGGUUUGGAGGGGGGACUGGAAUUCUCGGUGUAGCAGUGAAAUGCGUAGAUAUCGAGAGGAACACCAGUGGCGAAGGCGAGUCUCUGGGCAACAACUGACGCUGAGGAGCGAAAGCGUGGGGAGCGAACAGG
rnacentral:rRNA from 1 species